rnacentral:tRNA from 1 species
UGGGAUAUAGCUCAGUUGGUAGAGUGUUUUCCUAGCAUGCAAAGGGUCCUGGAUUCAAACUCCAGAAGCACAA